GACGAACGCUGGCGGCGUGCCUAAUACAUGCAAGUCGAACGCAGUGGGGACGGGUGAGUAACACGUGGGUAACCUCCCAUCAGAGGGGAUACAACUUGGCAACAGGGGCUAAACCGAUACUGAUGGAUGAACCCGCGGUGCAUUAGCUAGUUGGUGAGGUAACUGCUCACCAAGGCCACGAUGCAUAGCCGAGCUGAGAGGGUGAUAGGCCACACUGGGACUGAGACACGGCCCAGACGCCUACGGUAGGCAGGAGUAGGGAAUAUUCGGCAAUGGACGAAAGUCUGACCGAGCAACGCCGCGUGAGUGAAGAAGGUUUUCGGAUCGUAAAACUCUGUUGUUAGAGAAGCGGUAUCUAACCAGAAAGCCACGGCUAACUCCGUGCCAGCAGCCGCGGUAAUUC
rnacentral:rRNA from 1 species